CGGGAACCGAGGCUUCACCCAGUGGAAUUCCACGGUACAUGACAGUGAACCUGGACUUGGGUGGUGACAGUGGCGGAGUUGGAAUUGGGUGUGAUUAUGCCCAUGUACUGGACACCGACUUGUUGGAGAUCGAAAGAGGGUUUCUUGGGUUGGUGACAGUGGCGGAGCUCUGUCGUCGGAUCGGGGCCUGUAGGUCACAGAUCGGUUGGUGUUGGUCACGAUCUCUCUGACUUGGGUUUGUUUUUCCAUGUGGGUUUGAUGAUUUUUCUGGGUUUGUGGGUUUGAUUUGUUGGAGGUUUCGGUGGAGGAUGGUGUUUGGAUGGAAAAUGGGAACAUCGCCGGUGGUGGUCGUGGCAUGCGUCAAGAAGAGAAUCCAUUGCCCAUGAGUGGGUAUCUGGGUUUGUUUGAGACUUGUGUGACUAAGUUUGUUCAGAUUUGGGUAUCCUUGCUCUUGUUCUGGGUUUGUUUUUGUUUUUUUGGAGAGAACGUGGAGUUUUGUUUUUAAGGGUUUUUUUUGUGCGUUUGUUUCUUAAGAAAAAAUCUGGGUUUAUGGGUUUGUUAGAGAGUGAAUUGGUUACUGGGUUUAUGGGUUUAUUUCUUCGAUUUAUAUAUGGUUUGGUUUCUUGGAUUUAUUUCUUGUUUUUCUGGAAUUUGAUGGAGUAGAUUUUGUUGCUGGAUUUGGAUUUGGGGUUUGCUGGAGAUUGGUUUAUUUCAUGGAUUUAGGAAGAACACGGAGAACAACUUCAGUUCUUACGAAAAAAAUAAUGAAAGUAAAAAAAAAAAAAAAAAAAAAAAAAAUUUUGUUUUUUAAUUUAUUUUCUUUUUUUGGUCUAAAUUAUCUGACAUUCUUUUUAGGGAAAAUUACACUUUACCCACCUGUGCUUUAUUCAAAAAAUACUUUACCCACCUGUGGUUUAAAAAAUGACACUUUACCUACCUGUGGUCUAAUAUGUUAACCAAACGUUUACCCACCUCAGUCCUGCCGUUACUCUAACACUAUUCCACUCAAAAAAACAACAGCAAUUGAAUCAAAUCACUUUCCUGAGAAAGAAAAAAAACUUCCUUAUACCCGUACACCCCUGUUUGAGAUUGUGAUCCACUCCAUCAAGAUCAACCGGUGAAACUCUCGGCAUCAAGAGAAGAAGGCAGUCCUAUCAAAACCCAUGUGAAGGAUAUUGAAGAUUUUCUCUCUUGAUGUUUAUAGCAGUAAUUUCAGUGAAGGUUUCUUGAGCAACUUGUGCAAUGUAUUCAUCAAGUGGCACUUAUUCUACAACAACUCAUUUUUGCCAAUGCUUCAAAGGGAAAAGUCAGCUAGGGAAAUGGAAGAAAAAACUAUUAAGAGGGAAAUAAAAGCUCCUGAACAAUAUGUAGAAGCUAGGGAGAAAGCAAUGAAGACAAGAGAUAAUGAGAGAUUGUGCAAGCUUGGGGAUUUUUUGUGUUUGUAAUGUUGGUUUUUUGUUUUGCUUUACUGCAACAAAACAGAAUUUAAGAGAUUUAGGUCUAGCAUGAUGGUUAUGUGUUUGUUUUGUUGAGGUUGGCUGGAUCAUUGAGCUUAGUUCAGUGUGUAAAUUUUAUUGUUUUGUAGGUUGAAUGCUCAAAUGGUCAUUUUGUAAGUUGUAUUGUUGUAAUAUAACAACUUUGGUAAUAGAAUCACCUAAUUUGAUUGUUGGUAAUAAA